UUUACUGAAAACAAUAACAUAUAACACACAUGGUUUAUAUACCUUUACUGUAAGGGCCCUGUGCAUCAAUACGUUUUACCUGCGUUUUUAUACCUGUUGCAUCAUCUGUAAGCACCGUGUGCAAAAAAUUAGGGUCGUGUGCAAAAAUAUGUUGGACUUACCUUUUGAUCUUACUGUGUACGUCUUUGUACACUAUCUAGUCAGCGAACUUACCUAUGCAUUAUGACGUCAUCCACUUGUAAAAUUAAAGUUUCAUUUUCACUUUUGUUUCUAAGAAGUGAACUUAGAUUUUCAGAAAAUGUAGGACUAUCUUUCGUUUUUCCUCUCUUUUACUAUGAUGAUUUUCCUGCUGUGAAGCUUUUCUUGUAUAAAGCUCAAUUUCUCUCUGACCACGGAAGUAAACAUCCUGAUGCAUUCUUGUCAUGUGAAUGUUGAGAGCGUGUUCAUUUUUGAAAUCUCCUUUCUGACAGACCUAUUCCACAGGAUCAGCUGAGAUGUUAUUUCACUGGAUUAUUUAAUGGAUAGGCUUAUUGGGCAUAUAUUUGGAUAUCUCUGUCAUCAACAUGGAAGAUAAGUUUUGUUCCUAACCAUCUAUAAUCAAUUCUCUAUGAAGUUCAGACUGUCUGCCCUUCCUUUGGAAAUACACAGUUAGUCAACCAACAUAGAAACACACAAACUUGAAGGGAAAGAAUACUAUAAUGUGGCUCAUUAGGAUGACCAGAAAAGAAAUCUUAAUGACCCUCUUGACUAUGUAUAAAGACUGUAACCAUAUAACUGAUGUAAGAUGAUCUGAUUGUGUGCAAAUAAAAUUUCCUAGUGUUUCUUCUACCCAAGAUCUUCUUAUGACUGCAUGGGACUGCUGUAAACCUUCUGUUUAUAAAAAUAAUACCUUAGAGCAUGACACUUUAUUCAUAAGAGGUACUUUCAAUAUCAUUUCUAUGAGUUUGUGUUCUUUCUUUUUAAUAAUGUAGUGUUAUAUCUCCUUUAACCUCAUUAAUAUGUAUGCUUCCAAAAUCUUAGAUCUGUCUGUAUAGUUUCUUCAGUUCUUUGAACACAAAUACCCUGAUUCAAUCUUUUGAGGUAAACAUCAUAGAGACAUCAUAGAUGAUUAUCAGAGUGUAUAUAUCACAAUCUUGACCAUAAGGUCAAUUUAAAUGGUCAAAGGCACAACAAAUGAAAGUGAAAACUUUUCUUUUUUUUAAUCAGAAUACAUAAUUUUGUAAUAAACAAACACUGGAAAGUUACUCUCAUAAUGAGCCUUAAUGUCUUCCAAGAGUUCAGUUUGGACUUCCUCCAUUAAUCCUUGUAUCUUGUAAUCCUUGUAUCUCCAAUGGUUUUGUGGGCUAAAAAUCAUGUGUCUUUAACAAUCUUUUUUUUUCUGACAACUGUUUUCUCUUAUCAUCUAUAAACUUGACUUCUUCUCUAG